CGGAUGUACAAAGACAAAAAUAGGAACAAAUAUUUGAGUGAUUUAUUUGGACCUGGAAGUAUGGCGGUUUCCACUCGUAGACCUAAAGAGAAUGGACAGUCUGCCUGUCAAUCACUGCAGGCCCUCCAAGCUGAUGCCUGAAGGCGGGGCCAUUGAAGGAUGGCAAGCACCCGGCAAUGAAGCCCUACCACGUGAGCAGGCCGAUGACGGCUUGGAUUGUGCAAUGAGGCUUCCGUAGACCGUUCCCCUCGGUGAUGACGAAAUAUGGCGGCUACUGUGGAUAUAUGGCGGGUGACAGUGCUCCGAUCUCACAAGUGCUGCGUGAUUGGGUCCUCUGGCCCCACCAACCACUUCCAGAAAUUGCUCUGGAAGAGGGAAAGAGGAAGUUUGCCCCAUCCACUCGUGUGGUGAGUUUCCAAGUGACCUAAUUUUCCUGCAGCGGUCGCAAGCUGACCUUCCCCAGGUAAGUCUCUUUGUAGAUUUGUACAAUCAUCACCUCCCUCAGGAUCUGUGAUGGGAACGUCCUGUUCUGGUCAGCCGGUGGGCCCGUAAUGAGAGGAGAGGACCCUGAACCAAUAGUCAAGACCAGCCAUACAGAUGUUGCCGAGACCGUGUCACCCAUCGUGUUUCGUUCACAAUGAGUUUCCAGUAUGUGAGUCUGAAAGACCCUCGGCCCUUUCUUCCUGUCAUCUCUGAGCCUCAGCUUCCACACCUGCAAAAUGGAAAUGACACCUCGCUCUUGCUCUCAGGCGUGGUGUGAAAAUCAAGCGUGAUCGUCUUUAUGAAGUGCUCGGCACACGGGAGGGCCAGCAACUAUUCUCGGAGGGGCUUGGGCAUCUCUUUGGAAAUGGACCUCUUUAACUCUGCUGUGAUGCCAGGAGGUAGCCCAGCAUCCCAGACCCUGCCUUUCUCUGAGCUGCAUUCUUUCCUGGCUGCCUUGGACGUCUGACAUUGAAGCUGAUGUCACUCCGCGUCAAGUUGGGGCUGGAGGGUGCUUGGUAACUGGCAGUGGCCAAAGGUCUCCUCUCUUUCCUUCUCUGUAUAAAGUUACUUCUUUUCUGGGCAGGGGUUAAUUUGGUGGAAAUCAGGUGAAGACUUUGACGGUUGGGUGUGAGAGUGUUAAGCAUAAAGACGAAUGGCUCUAAGGUGCAUUCAAAGACCCUUGUGACCUCUAGAGUCAGAAGCACCUCUGGUUCCUCUGUUGCUUUGUUCGCACCAGUUUUAUCCAGAAGGUGGCAUCGCAGAGCCUGAUGUGCACUCCCCAAAGUCCAAAGGAUCCACAUUUCUUUGUGGUUAGACACUAACGUAUGUAGCCUUUACACAGCACGUUGACAUUUCAAAGACUUUUCAUUUAUCCCUAUACUUGGUUCAGUGACUUUCAAGCCGUGGGAGAUGGGGGUCAUUACAACUUCCUACCCAGUGAAAACCUGAGACCUGAGGUCCUUAGAAAACUCUGUGCCCCAACACACGUUCUUUCCCCGGGCGGUAGGUACAAAAGUGAACAAGAAUGGCUUGUUUGCGUGUCAAAAGCAGUUGUACAACUUAAUCACCGUGAUGCCUCCUCCUUCUUCCACACACACUUGUGCCUGCCCACUGCCCAUCAAAGUCAUGUUGGGUCAUUUCACUGGGGGGAGGGAUGGGGAAGACGUAGAUGAUUGUUUUAUGGGUAAGUCUUCUGAGUACCGGCACUUAACAAAAUAAGUCCCAAGGUUGACGCUUCCAAAAGGGUGACUGUUUAACUGGUGGCAUCUCAAACUCAGGACCCUGAGGGAAAGACAAGGUGACCCUCCCAAUUUAAGGUGGGGUCUGGCUUGGUGGCUCUUUCCCAGGAGUCCACUCUGGAGCCUGCCACAUCAGUUGCGUUAUGAGGCCUGUACUCAAUGAAUGUGUACUUCCCAGCGGGGAUGUUAAUGAGUUAUGAAUUCUUGGUGUGAAGUAUUUCAUGUCAAACCCUGUUAGCCCGAAGUGGAUUUUCAUUCCUCUUAUGUGUGUCGGUGACAGGAAGGGAAUGGAAUCGAACACCUGAGGGUAAGGCCUUUGCACUUGUGCUGCCGAAGGAGCACGAGGUAAGGCCUUUGAAAUGGAGUGUAUUCGUUGUUACACUGGUUCCCUGUUACAGGCGCACGUUUCCACGGAUGAGUAUUAUUUCAUUGGAUACAUGUACCACAUUUUCCUUAUCCAUUUAUACUGUUGAUGGAUGCUCACAAGUCUCUCAUGUGUCACAUGUUGAAAACAAUACUGUAGUGAGUAUAUGGGAUGAGUAUGUGUCCUUGACGUAGUGGCUUCCUGUCCUUAUAUAAACGCCCAGAUACGGGAUUGAUACAUCAUAUAGGAGCUCAAUUAUUAAUUUUUUGAGAGGCCAUCCUACUGUUCUCCGUAGUGCUACCCAAUGUGGGCCUGUCAGGUUGUCAGACUCCCUUUACAAAGAAGCUGAAAGAGUACGUCUACCAUGCAGAGCAAUGGCCUCCUAGGAAUCACUGGGAAUCCUCAUGUUGUGUAUGGGAAUGUGGUUGGAAUUGUAUCCACACGUUUCCAUCAAAACUUCCUGCACUCUUCUGGUGAUCAUACCUUGCCCGUGGCAAGAAGACGAGCGGCGUGAAGGUGCUGUCAGUGAUCGUUCCAUGAGACAGGGGACGUUUAGAUUGUCACGGACAUGAGCUGAUGAGCUGGAUGUCCGGGAGCCUCCAGGGUCAGGUGUGCAGGGUGAAGGUGUCACCCUUGGGCCUUUGUUUCUAUACGUCAUUUCAGGCCUUUCAUUUCUCGCGAUUAGUGAAACCUAGGGUCCAGAAGGGAUAUAUGAGUAAACUCUGGGAGUGUAAAGAAACUUGCAAGGGGGUGGGUAGAGUGUCUUAGUGUGAAAGUGUGGUAGGCCUUAUGGGUUCAGGGGCAAUGGCAGCAUCUGGCGACUGGGCAGAUAUUAGUUCCCAGGGAAGAAAUGGGUCAUGUCUGGUUCUCUGGCCUCCAAUGCAAAGAAGCUAAUAGAGUUUGUCUACCAUACAGAGCAAUGGCCUCCUAGGAAUCGUUAGGAAUCCUCAUUUUGUCGAUGGGAAUGUGGUUGGAAUUGUAUCCAAGCGUUUCCAUCUAAGCUUUCUGUACUCUUCUGCUGACCAUACUCUGCACAUGGCGGGAAGAGGAGCGGCGUAUGGGCGCUGUCAAUGAACGUUCCAUGAGGCAGGGGACGUUUAGAUCGUCACGGACAUGAGCUGAUGAGCUGGAUGUCCGGGAGCCUCCUGGGUCAGGUGUGCAGGGUGGAGGUGUCAUCCUUGGGCCUUUGUCUCCAUACACCAUUUCAGGCCAUUCAUUUCUAGCGAUUAGUGAAACCUAGGGUCCAGAAAGGAUAUAUGAGAAAACUCUGGGAGUGUAAAGAACCUUGCAAGGGGGUGGGUAGAGUGUCUUAGUGUGAAAGUGUGGUAGGCCUUAUGGGUUCAGGGGCAAUGGCAGCAUCUGGCGACUGGGCAGAUAUUAGUUCCCAGGGAAGAAAUGGGUCAUGUCUGGUUCUCUGGCCUCCAAUGCAAAGAAGCUAAAAGAGUUUGUCUACCAUAGAGAGGAAUGGCCUCCUAGGAAUCGUUAGGAAUCCUCAUUUUGUGGAUGGGAAUGUGGUUGGAAUUGUAUCCACACGUUUCCAUCGAAACUUCCUGCACUCUUCUGCUGACCAUACUCUGCCCAUGGCAGGAAGAGGAGCGGCGUGUGGGUGCUGUCAAUGAACCUUCCAUGAGGCAGGGGAUGUUUAGAUUGUCACGGACAUGAGCUGAUGAGCUGGAUGUCCGGGAGCUUCCUGGGUCAGGUGUGCAGGGCGGAGGUGUCAUCCUUGGGCCUUUGUUUCUAUACACCAUUUCACGCCAUUCAUUUCUCGCGAUUAGUGAAACCUAGGGUCCAGAAGGGAUAUAUGAGUAAACUCUGGGAGUGUAAAGAAACUUGCAAGGGGGUGGGUAGAGUGUCUUAGUGUGAAUGUGUUGUAGGCAUUGUGGGUUCAGGGGCAAUGGCAGCAUCUGGCGACUGGGCAGAUAUUAGUUCCCAGGGAAGAAAUGGGUCAUGUCUGGUUCUCUGGCCUCCAAUGCAAAGAAGCUAAAAGAGUUUGUCUACCAUACAGAGCAAUGGCCUCCUAGGAAUCGUUAGGAAUCCUCAUUUUGUGGAUGGGAAUGUGGUUGGAAUUGUAUCCACACGUUUCCAUCGAAACUUCCUGCACUCUUCUGGUGAUCAUACCUUGCCCGUGGCAAGAAGACGAGCGGCGUGAAGGUGCUGUCAAUGAAUGUUCCAUGAAGCAGGGGACGUUUAGAUUGUCACGGACAUGAGCUGAUGAGCUGGAUGUCCGGGAGCCUCCUGGGUCAGGUGUCCAGGGUGCAGGAUUCAUCCUUGGGCCUUUGUUUCUAUACGUCAUUUCAGGCCAUUCAUUUCUCACGAGUAGUGAAACCUAGGGUCCAGAAGGGAUAUAUGAGUAAACUCUGGGAGUGUAAAGAACCUUGCAAGGGGGUGGGUAGAGCCUCGUGUAG